UGUGUAGGCUGUUAUGCAAGUGAGAUGUGAAAUCCCUCAGCUUAACUGAGGAACAGCGUUUCAAACUGCAUAACUAGAGAGAGACAGGGGUAAGCGGAACUUGCGGUGGAGCGGUGAAAUGCAUUGAUAUUGCAAGGAACACCAGAGGCGAAGGCGGCUUACUGGGUCUCAACUGACGCUGAAACACGAAAGCCAGGGUAGCGAACG
rnacentral:rRNA from 1 species